rnacentral:rRNA from 1 species
CCUACGGGCGGCUGCAGUGGGGAAUAUUGGACAAUGGGGGCAACCCUGAUCCAGCCAUGCCGCGUGUGUGAAGAAGGCCCUCGGGUUGUAAAGCACUUUCAGUGAGGAAGAACGCCUGGUGGUUAAUACCCAUCAGGAAAGACAUCACUCACAGAAGAAGCACCGGCUAACUCCGUGUCAGCAGCCGCGGUAAUACGGAGGGUGCGAGCGUUAAUCGGAAUUACUGGGCGUAAAGCGCGCGUAGGUGGCUUGAUAAGCCGGUUGUGAAAGCCCCGGGCUCAACCUGGGAACGGCAUCCGGAACUGUCAAGCUAGAGUGCAGGAGAGGAAGGUAGAAUUCCCGGUGUAGCGGUGAAAUGCGUAGAGAUCGGGAGGAAUACCAGUGGCGAAGGCGGCCUUCUGGACUGACACUGACACUGAGGUGCGAAAGCGUGGGUAGCAAACAGGAUUAGAUACCCUAGUAGUC